ensembl:antisense Myhas myosin heavy chain gene antisense RNA
GAAGGUCUAACCAUGAGGAAGAAAGUGAAUUCUCAGAUUAGGCAGUGGAAGGGGGAGGUAGUAAGAGGAGGGGGAGUCAGAACAGAGAUGAACUUGUCUGGUCCCUUUCUGGAGGGUUUGUCAUAGACGUCUCCCCACUCAUGCACUGCAGGGGUAACAGACUGCUGUGUGAUAGCCCAUGAGUGUUUCUGCUGCAUCACAGAAGGAGAUACAGACAUGAUUUCCUAGGGCACAGGCAAAUGCUCAAGGCUAGCUGUGACUCCAUUGAGGAUGGAGUGUUCAUAUCCCUUCAGGAAGGUGAUCAAGCAUGCCUCCAGGCUUCCCCGUCUUCCCUCAGGCAUGUGUGUGGUACUUACUGGACUUGGCCUGGCUGCUCUCCAUGCUUAACCUGGGUGACUAAGGAGUUUGUCAUAGAUGUAAACACAAUGGUUCUUUUCUUUCUCUCUCCCUCAUGUACAAAAUGAUCGGCCGCCGUGGAAAGGGGGAAGGAAAAGACCGACGAGCUCUUGGCAGAUAAAUUUUUUAUCUCCAAAAGUCAUGAGUACAAAACAGAGUGACAAAGAUCUUCACAUUUUGCUCAUCUCUUUGGUCACUUUCCUGCACUUGGAUCGAUCACUCUUCGCUUAUGAUUUUGGUGUGAACCUCCCGGCUCUUCACCCGCAGCUUGUUGACCUGGGACUCCGCAAUGUCAGCCCGCUCCUCGGCUUCCUCCAACUCGUGCUGGAUCUUGCGGAAUUUGGCCAGGUUGACGUUGGACUGUUCCUCCUGUGAGUAAGAACGCAUUUGUAAGGAAAAAAUGCUCACAUUUCUAGACUUUAGGGUCAGUGCAUCUUGGCUGUCUCUUUUGCUUAAAACCAAUCCACUCUAAUAAAUUUUCAAAGAAGUC